rnacentral:lncRNA from 1 species
GAAUUGUCAUACGCGUGCGAGUGAGAAAUUUUGCCUAUAAUUACGAAUUUUCACCCAGAAAGAAUGAUUCUUAAUCUUAACGGCUCAAAGGAAUAUAUGUAUGAUCCAAGCAGACCAAACAUGGUAAUUUUUAGCCUUGGGCACAAGAUUGAUUCUCUUCACUUUGUGUAUGUUUAAUUUCGAGUACUUUUUAUGAUGAAUUAUUUUACCAUGAGUGAUUGAAAUUUCUAGAUUAUCGUUAAAUGGUGAAUCUCUAUUGAAUUGUUUGAACCAAAUAAUCUAAGAAGUCCUCUUUCAACACAAUUUGAAUUAUGUUUAUUUAAUAGAUCUUGUUAGUAAUGCUUUUCAAUUUCUAAUCAACUUUGAAUUUUAAAUAAGUGCUUCUUGGGAGGUGAUGACACCUCGUUAUAUGAUGUUUUAGCUAGGUUUUUUUUAAGUAAUUUUAAUAAGCAUUUGGAAAAAAAUUAAAAGGAGUUUUAGAUGAGUUUCUCAUGGUUUAAGAGAUAUUUUGUAUUAUUUUGAUUUUAGUCCUUGUAAUUCUAUUUCAUCCCCUAAUUAGGCACACUUCAUAUAUAUUUUGAGUCUGUCUAUUGAUAAAUUAUAUAAAUCAACAAAGCAAAACAUCUAAUGGAAGUUAUGGAAGGUAAAGAGUGAAGAUCGACGAAGGUAUUGGAAGAUUUUGAGGGCAAUACAAAUUGGGAAAAUUUUAUCCUAUGUUCCAAGACUUGUCAAGGAAGGAGAAACACUUGAAGAAUGGAGGAAAAACAACAAAUUUUGCCAUGCUGAAGUCCAAAGCUCCCCCAGUGCAUGACACCUGCAGAAGGACAGUUGACCACCAUCCAAAGCACUUCAGGUGCAAACCCAACUGAGAAAAUGCAUAUUUAAAGAUAUUUGUGCACAUAUAAAUUUUCGUUCAUAACUUGAUGGUUUAAGGCGAAGGCAAGCUACGACAUCAAAGAGGAAUCACACGUCCUCCAACUUGUUCUUAUAGUAUGUUUUGUUUUUCUUUGGUUAUGUAUUUUGUUACCAUGAGUAGUUAACUACCUUUUGAUCAGGGUUCUAAGACGAAUCUCUAUAUUUAUGUUAUAUUUAAUUUUCAUAUGUUUUACGCUUAAUACUUUGACAAACUAGGAAGUGAUGCCCCUAAAAUUUGCAAUGAUCUUAGGUUAGGGUUCAUUAGAUUGGAGUUUUGCUUUGACCAUUGUUAUUACAUAUAAAUUUUGCUCA